rnacentral:lncRNA from 1 species
GGUGAUUACAUCAUUCCAGGUAUCCGACACGGGGGAAACUGGCUCAGUAGCUGAUUCCUCAAACAGCUUGCUUUGUGUUGGUUUGGUUUUUGAGGUACAGUCUCAUUACAUGGUCUAGCCUGGGCUAGAAGCUCAUGGUCCUCUUACCUCAGCCUCCUGAGUGCAGGGAUAUAUGCUUGCACAACCACACUUCUUAAAUUUUUUUCUUUAAUUACAUUCACUGACAACCUCAUUGCCCUGGCAAGUCCUGCAUUUUCUCCAUGUCACGUGGAAGGAGAGUGACGAUGGAAUGUCGAAAGCCCAGGAGCAGUGCCUCUCCUCCCCAUCCAUUACUUCCCAGCAUAUCCUGGCUACAAGCUCCUCCUCACAUCCCUAUGCAGGGAGCAGGUUGGCAGCUUGCCUAGUCUCGAAGUCUCAGUCAUUAUUGACUGGCUGUCUGAGUUUCCUCUUCAGAGUAUCUGAUCACCCACCUCCCUAAAAUAGCCCCAGCCAGGGUCAGAUUACCCGCAGCUGCCAGGUCAUACCUGCAAGACGAGCUCUCCCGACAAGCCUAGGGGAAACAAAUCCAUGAUGCUAGUGGUGAUACCUGGAGCAAGUCAGUGGGACCUGUCCAGUCUUGGAUCGCUCAGUGGGGAGUAGACGUGUUAGAGACUAGGGCAGCUCAUCCGUCUCUUUCUUUCUUAUAAACCUUCCACCUCCUCCAAGUCUAUUAUAGAAAGGAAACUCGAGAGCAGAUCCUUAUUUUUCUCCUGGACUUCCUACAUUUGUCCUUGUUACCCCGAAGUCUACCCUCAAUCUAGAGUCCAAAGAAGUAGAGUGUUUGCCUACUACAAAUGAAGCUCUGGGUUGGAGAAUUAGCACCCCAUAAAAGGUUUGGUAAUCCUUUGGUAAUCCUAGCACUUGGAAGGUAGAGGCAGUAGGAUCAGAAGUUCAAGAUCAACCUUGUAAAGUAAGGGGCUAGCCUGUGCAACAUUAGGUAGGGUCUCAAAAGAGCAGUAACAAAAAACACAUUGGGAUACACCAAUGCUUUGCUCAGAACCAUCCAGUGGCUCCUAUCCAACCAGAGGCAAAGCCUUACAAUGGCUGAAGGGCCUGCAGGAUCUGCCAUCAUCCUCCUAAGCCUUUAGGAACCUGACUCCUUAUUAUAGUCUCUCUCUCUCUCCCCCCCGCCCCACUCAGAACAAAAGUGUUGCUCUUUAUAUGCACAGACCCCUCCCACUUCAGGACCUUUGUCCACCCAGGGGACUCUUUCCCCAGAGCUCCACUCAGCCCACUCUUCAGUCUUCCUGCAAACCCCCCUUCUCAGCAAAGCCUCCACUACUGUAAACAGAGCUAAUUACUCCUGGAGGCUGUCCUGGCUCCCUCUCCUCCACCUCAUCCUGUCCUAUUAUUCCCAAAGAAUGAAUGAGUCAUAUCCUGGCAUAGCAUGUAACUUACCUCUGUUCUCUAAUCAUUAGACAUGUAAUCUCUAAGAAGACAUAGAUGUUUGUCCUUUUUGUCUAGUUUGUUGGCUAAUGCAUCUCAAAUGUCGACAACAAGCACAUAGUGGGAGUUCAGAAACCUUGCUGCAUCCCUCUGCAGUGAGGAAAGUGAGGCCUACUCUACAUCAGAAACACUGAGACUUCUGGUAGCAGACUUCAAUUCCUCUCUUCUGGAGCCUGUGGCCCCCCUCUACUGUUCAUCUGCUCCCCAUCCACAGCUGGUUUUAGGGAAAGUUCCGGGG